GAAAAAUAGGUAUAAGUGUUGUCUAAACACUAUUAAUCCAUCUCUAACUCUUAUAACUAGUCAAAUGCAUUGGAUUGUGUCACAUUUUUACCA
rnacentral:sRNA from 1 species